rnacentral:rRNA from 1 species
AGGUGGGAUUAGCUAGUUGGUGAGGUAAUGGCUCACCAAGGCGACGAUCCCUAGCUGGUCUGAGAGGAUGAUCAGCCACACUGGAACUGAGACACGGUCCAGACUCCUACGGGAGGCAGCAGUGGGGAAUAUUGCACAAUGGGCGCAAGCCUGAUGCAGCCAUGCCGCGUGUAUGAAGAAGGCCUUCGGGUUGUAAAGUACUUUCAGUCGUGAGGAAGGGGGUAUCGUUAAUAGCGGUAUUCUUUGACGUUAGCGACAGAAGAAGCACCGGCUAACUCCGUGCCAGCAGCCGCGGUAAUACGGAGGGUGCGAGCGUUAAUCGGAAUUACUGGGCGUAAAGCGCAUGCAGGUGGUUUGUUAAGUCAGAUGUGAAAGCCCGGGGCUCAACCUCGGAGUUGCAUUUGAAACUGGCAGGCUAGAGUACUGUAGAGGGGGGUAGAAUUUCAGGUGUAGCGGUGAAAUGCGUAGAGAUCUGAAGGAAUACCGGUGGCGAAGGCGGCCCCCUGGACAGAUACUGACACUCAGAUGCGAAAGCGUGGGGAGCAAACAGGAUUAGAUACCCUGGUAGUCCACGCUGUAAACGAUGUCUACUUGGAGGUUGUGGCCUUGAGCCGUGGCUUUCGGAGCUAACGCGUUAAGUAGACCGCCUGGGGAGUACGGUCGCAAGAUUAAAACUCAAAUGAAUUGACGGGGGCCCGCACAAGCGGUGGAGCAUGUGGUUUAAUUCGAUGCAACGCGAAGAACCUUACCUACUCUUGACAUCUACAGGAUCCUGCGGAGACGCGGGAGUGCCUUCGGGAACUGUAAGACAGGUGCUGCAUGGCUGUCGUCAGCUCGUGUUGUGAAAUGUUGGGUUAAGUCCCGCAACGAGCGCAACCCUUAUCCUUGUUUGCCAGC